GUCAAAUUCUAUAGAAGGCGCGAUUGUGCGAAGUAGAGGCGAGCGAUCCUCUUCCUUUCGUUCCACCACCGACGGUCAAGAGAGGUCAAGGGUGUCCCUUCCUUCGGUCAUCAUCCACCUGUCACCAGCCGACAACGCCACCUCAACCAUCUAAACGCUAAUUCUGUCACGACUUUGUGCGAGGAAGAAGAAGCAUAGAAGGUGGAGGAAUUUGGUGGUUCCAGCCGAUUCCCUCUCCUUCAGGCCAGCGAUCAUCCUCCGCCGAAGCUCCGAUCAUGUCUAGGACUUGAGAGUGUUUCUUGCUGUAUACUUCUUAUUUUGAUGCUGCUGAUUGAUUCUGCCAGAUCCAGAGCUCAUCUGAUUGGAUCAAUUCUUCGCCGAUUGCAAGAUCUUGACAUCUUUGUCAAGAUCAACGAGUGCUUGGGGAUUCCCAGCUCACCUUGGUUCAUCACUUUUCCUUUUUGAUUUCUGCAUUUCUGUUCUUCCAAAUUUCCAGCUUCGUUCUUGUUUUCUUUACUGUUUAGUUUCAUUGGCUCGAGUUGUUAGGGUUAGAUGAAGGUUUAGAUCUGUUUUCUUGCCUUCAAUUCAACUGAAUGUUUGCUGAUUCCUUGAGUAGAGAUAUGAUCCAAUGUUUGUGCAUGGUUCUUAAGAUGAAUUCAGCUACUGUUAUCUGAAUUCGAGUUCUAUUUUCAGUAAUGGAUUAAGUUUGGUUGCUCUUGUUCUGCUUUUGUUUAGUUUUAAAUAUACUUAGAUCUAUUAAUGGUGUAAUCUAUAACAUAGAGUGACAAUAUGUUAUGGGCUCAUGAUUAAUAGAUAGUUAGGAUUUCUUUUAUUGCAUUAGAUUUAGUUUCAUUAAAUGCUUUGCUAUUUCAUUCCUUAGUUUAGCUCCAUUUAUGGUGAAAUCAUAGCGUAAAGUGACAAUAUGUUGUGGGAUCACUAUUAAUGGGUAGAUAAGAUAAUGUUUAUUUCAUUAGAUUAAAUUGCAUACGUGUUUUGCUAUCUCAUUUGUUAGGUUUAUAAUCAAAACUCAAAACCCCCAUUACUAUAUCAAAAACCCAAAGAUUACAAACAAAUUAAUCUUAAGAUACCACCAUUGCCACAUUCAUUGGGAGACGGCCCGAAUCAUAUCUAUGCUACAUUAGUAUAGAAUGAAUUCUGUCACUUAAUUUUUUUUAUAUCCAUUUCACAAAAAAAAUCGGGUUUAUCAAAAUUGGCGUCGUUGUCGGGGAAUGUUAGCGGUGUUUGAUAAUCUUAGGAUUGUUCUCUAUUUUGAAAAAAAAAAAUUGUUUGAGUGUUUUCAUGUUUAUAUAUCCAUGUGUUUGAUUUAAUAUGUUCCUUGUGUCUUCUGAUCUUAUCUGCUAGUAUUUCAGUGUAAGAAUAUGACAUUUCUUUGAUCAUGGAUCCAUAUUAUCAACAUUUUGAAGGUGAGAUGGAGAGUCAGUAUUAUCAGCCUAAUCAACCUCAAUACUAUCAUCCUGAGCCUCAGUAUUAUCAUCCUUAGAUUCAGUAUUAUCAACCCGAACCUUAAUAUUAUCCACCCAUAGAGCAGCCAAAUAUGUAUUAGUUAUUUCAAAAUUCAUAUAAUUCUAAUUGAGUGGAUCAAUCACAUUUUAGGUAUGAGGAUACACAAGGAUAAUUUCCUGAGCUAUAUCCAACAUAUCAGAGUCCACAGGGAUUUCAUGAUGAGUAUAUGCCUACUUGGCCACUUUCAGUCCAGUAGGGUGAUCUAGCUCCUUGGACUACAUUUUAAGAUGAAGUUCAUGCCCCUAAUUCAACACAAGACCUUCGGGAGAUUAUCUAACUAAUGAUAGAGUAUCAAAAGUAAUAAUUUGUAGAGAUACAAAAUUUACAGAUACAAGUAGACCAAUUUGCAUCAUCCGUUAGCCAGCAACACGCACCAUACUUCAAUGAGAAGAGGGAUUGUAGUGUUUUUGAUAGACCUGAUAUUGUCUCCAUUACUCCAUAGGACUCCUCUAGUAUUUCUUGUUGUGAUGCUGCAGUUGUAAGAAUUUCUGACUCUAUUGAUACUGUUGUUGUAGAUGUUGUUGAUGAUGUAGAUACUGAUGUUGAUGAUGAGGAGAGUGUAGGGGAUUGCAUAGUAGAAGCAAUACCCCAAGAAUCACUUUUUCCAGUUGUACAAUCACCUAAACUAGGUAUUGAUGAUAUAAGUGUAGGGGAUUGCACAUUGAGGCAAUACCCCAAGAACCACCUGAACCGGAGCGUAAACCACUACUUGAGGAUGAGGAGGUCACAGUCACCAUUCUAGAAUCUCCAUGUACCUUUCAACAUGACAAGGAGAUUAUAAGCUCCCGGAGUGGUUACUCCAACUGAACCGCCUUCAACCUUCAGGGAGUAUUUUCAAGAGGAAUAUGGUGAAGGGAGAGGUCAUUACUUCAAAUGCAAUGAUUCCACUCCCAACUUGGAUUUUGUUUCUUAACCGACUCCAACCACCGGGAAGGACCAUUUCAAUGCCGGCGUGGAUGCUACUUCUAAAUUGUUUGCAACCAUCCGAAAUAAAGGGGAGUUCGUUCCUUGCUUUUCUUUUUUUACUUUACACUUUCUUCUACUUUCAUACUUUACAUUUGUAUUUUGCUUAAUACUUUGCACUUUGUUUGGUCUACAUAGCAUUUCAUUUGAAUAAAAUUCUCCAUGAAAUUGUUCUA